GGUGCCAUGGUUUAGCUGGCUAACGCACCUGUCUCAUAAACAGGAAAUCCUUGGUUCAAGUCCCAGUACUGCCU
rnacentral:tRNA from 1 species